rnacentral:tRNA from 1 species
GGCCGAGCAGGUGGCGAGCUGUAGACUCGUUCACGGGGCAUAUGCCCCCCCGACCAA